GUAGCCUACGGGGGGCAGCAGUGGGGAAUAUUGGACAAUGGGGGAAACCCUGAUGCAGCGACGCCGCGUGAGCGAAGAAGUAUCUCGGUAUGUAAAGCUCUCUCAGCAGGGAAGAAAAUGACGGUACCUGACUAAGAAGCCCCGGCUAACUACGUGCCAGCAGCCGCGGUAAUACGUAGGGGGCAAGCGUUAUCCGGAUUUACUGGGUGUAAAGGGAGCGCAGGCGGCGCGGUAAGUCUGAUGUGAAAGCCCGGGGCUCAACCCCGGGACUGCAUUGGAAACUGCCGUGCUGGAG
rnacentral:rRNA from 1 species